CACAUACUCCCUCCGAUCGGUAUUACUUGUUUCAAAUUUGUCCAAAUACGGAUGUAUCUAUGUGUAAAAAACGUCUAUAUACAUGUAAUAUUUUGACAAGUAAUUCCGGUCAGAGGGAGUAGAUA
rfam:Brachypodium distachyon strain Bd21 chromosome 4, whole genome shotgun sequence.